rnacentral:rRNA from 1 species
GAAUCUGGAGACAGGUGCUGCAUGGCUGUCGUCAGCUCGUGUCGUGAGAUGGUUGGGUUAAGUCCCGCAACGAGCGCCAACCCUUGCCUUUAGUUGCCAGCAGUUCGGCUGGGCACUCUAAAGGGACUGCCGGUAGUUAAACCGGAGGAAGGUGGGGAUGACGUCAAGUCCUCAUGGCCUUUAUGACCAGGGCUACACACGUACUACAAUGGCCGAUACAAAGGGCAGCGACACUGCGAGGUGAAGCCAAUACCCGUAAAAUCGGUCUCAGUCCGGAUUGGAGUCUGCAACUCGACUCCAUGAAGUUGGAAUCGCUAGUAAUCGUGGAUCAGCAUGCCACGGUGAAUACGUUCCCGGGCCUU